AUUGAACGCUGGCGGCAUGCCUUACACAUGCAAGUCGAACGGCAGCACGGGAGCAAUCCUGGUGGCGAGUGGCGAACGGGUGAGUAAAGUAUCGGAACGCGCCCAGUCGUGGGGGAUAACGUAGCGAAAGUUACGCUAAUACCGCAUACGAUCUAUGGAUGAAAGCGGGGGAUCGCAAGACCUCGCGCGAUUGGAGCGGCCGAUAUCAGAUUAGGUAGUUGGUGGGGUAAAGGCUCACCAAGCCGACGAUCUGUAGCUGGUCUGAGAGGACGACCAGCCACACUGGGACUGAGACACGGCCCAGACUCCUACGGGAGGCAGCAGUGGGGAAUCUUGGACAAUGGGCGAAAGCCUGAUCCAGCCAUGCCGCGUGCAGGAUGAAGGCCUUCGGGUUGUAAACUGCUUUUGUACGGAACGAAAAGGUUUGGGCUAAUAAGCUGAGCUCAUGACGGUACCGUAAGAAUAAGCACCGGCUAACUACGUGCCAGCCGCCGCAGUAA
rnacentral:rRNA from 1 species